AUAACCUUUCAGUUGGUUGUGAUAACAUUGAAAAUGAUGUGUAAAACUCUAUAAAUAAUAUUUUUAUUACUUGAACUCAUAUUUUAAGGUACUUGUUUGAUAUUUAUGGUGACUUUAGUGACCAUCUUGAUAUCGUUUUCAGUUCAGUGACCAACUUGAUACAUUAAGCCCAUUUCAGUGACCAACUAGAUAACUAACCCAGCAAGAAAGUGCUGAGAUUUUGCAAGUAGAAGCUCUCUCCAAAUUUAUACAAACACAUUCUUCAUCUACUUCAUCUUUAAAACCCCCGUUCCGCUCGGUAUAUUCAUAUAUUCUCGAGGUUUUAAACACCGAGGCUUUGCUCCACCCAACCAAGCCCCGUACCACUUUACUUGCUCACAAACCACUCUUUUCGACCUUCCGNCACUCUUUCCGACCUUCCGAAGGGCUUUCCGAAGUUCGUUCAUAAGCCAAAUUCCUGCCGAACCUCUGGCGAAUUUUUCCGGCGAACUUUUUGC
rnacentral:lncRNA from 1 species